rnacentral:rRNA from 1 species
UACGAAGGGGGCGAGCGUUGUUCGGAAUUACUGGGCGUAAAGGGCGCGCAGGCGGUCCUUCAAGUCAGAUGUGAAAGCCCCGGGCUCAACCUGGGAACUGCAUUUGAGACUGGAGGACUUGAGGACGGGAGAGGAGAGUGGAAUUCCCAGUGUAGAGGUGAAAUUCGUAGAUAUUGGGAAGAACACCGAUGGCGAAGGCAGCUCUCUGGACCGUUACUGACGCUGAGGCGCGAAAGCGUGGGUAGCAAACAGG